rnacentral:sRNA from 1 species
UGUCCCCUCUCAACUGCAUGCUGAAUACUGGAUCCUAGACUCUUGAGAGCUAAAUAAAGUAUAUCUUUUAGCUGCAGUUUCAUAUUAAAAAUGAAUUUUUAACAAUCUGCAUAUUUAGAUGAAAUAUUAGGGAAUAGUUACUAAAUGUACAAAAUGGUGUAAGAAAUGUAUGUUCGUGUCCUCAUUAUACUCCAUUCCAUAAGGUAGUAAAAUACUUGUCUGUUUUUCUUACAGAAGUUGAUUCAAGUCAGUUGAGACGCCAGUUGUGUGGAGGAAGUCAGGCCGCCAUAGAAAGAAUGAUCCACUUUGGACGAGAGCUGCAAGCAAUGAGUGAACAGCUAAGGAGAGACUGUGGCAAGAACACUGCAAACAAAAAAAUGUUGAAGGAUGCAUUCAGUUUACUAGCAUAUUCAGAUCCCUGGAACAGCCCAGUUGGAAAUCAGCUUGACCCGAUUCAGAGAGAACCUGUGUGCUCAGCUCUUAACAGUGCAAUAUUAGAAACCCACAAUCUGCCAAAGCAACCUCCACUUGCCCUAGCAAUGGGACAGGCCACACAAUGUCUAGGACUGAUGGCUCGAUCAGGAAUUGGAUCCUGCGCAUUUGCCACAGUGGAAGACUACCUACAUUAGCUAUGCAUUUCAAGAGCUCACACUUAUAU